UAUGCUUUAGAGACAAAUGAAACCUGCUUUUGUUUACUGGAAAGUAUGCUUUAUUUUCUCAUCACUGAGCAUCUGGUGUUUGUAAGAGGCACAACAAAUCUUUCCAACAGCACAUCAGCCCAUCUGAGAACGCCUGGCCGGGAGCUCCAUGUGUGCCAUGAUCGUUAUCCUAAAAAGGUACUAAAAUGUCCAAGUGUUGGAGGGCACAACAUCCAAGCACAGAAAGUGCUGGCAAAGCUGGCUGCACGUCAGUGGAAAACCAAAGAAAAAGAAAUGCCCCCAGUUCUGCUCCAAUUCUGACCUAACUUUCUUCCAUGCGUUCAUCAAACAAGAGAAAUCAACACUCUUCCCUCAUCACAGUCUUCACCAGCACCUCAAGUCUACUGCUUGGCCUGGAGAAAGCCUUUUAUCAGGCAGUGACGAUGGCAGGCAUUUAUCCUCUAUGAACGAAUGACAGAAGAGGAUCCUAAACAUAAUUCACAAACAACCAUACAGACAGGACUGAGGCAGGACAGUCAGAACCAACAGUCAGCUUUGGGAUGAGCUUGUGCCAUACCUUGGGACUCAGCAGUACCCGUGGAUUCCCUUGGGGGAGGACCAGUGCAGCAUCAUCACUUUGCCUCCUCCACACCAUUAGAAUUCCUGGAGAAAUGAAACCAUAUGCCUUUGCCUAUUAGCAGAGAAGUCUGGACUAUGUGGUUUUGACAGACAAAUAUAACCGUCUCAGGAAAUAGAAGCCUGUUUCAUUGGAGUAAAAUUGUCAGUCAGUGUCAAAUCUAGCCCAUGCACCCUGAUGGUCAGAGAUGGGUGGAGCCCAGCUGUAAGAAGUGUAGGCCUCUUAACCUUCGUGAUGUUUGGGGAUGGCUGUGACAAAUACCACCUUUCACCCCCUCCCUGCUUUCUACAUCCCCAAGCAGAUCCCAUGUAGCAGACACAUGUCCCAGCAUGUGUGUCACUGCCAAUAGUUCCAUCCACUGAAAAUCUGGGUGGAGGAAGACAAUGAUGUUUAUUCAUUCCUUGGGAAAAACUCUUGGCCCCAAGGAGUUAAAAUGUCCUGGGGAUGCUUGCAAGCUCAUGUCUGCAUUGUGCCAUCUUCAGAGAAUCUGGCUCAGUAUCUGUUCCUUCACUCUAGCACUUAUGGAGCUUUCUAGCAGGUAAAACUGAGCCCAAUUUCCUCAGUCUUCUGUUAGUGUUACUAAAAAAACACCCUUAAAUUAGGUCCCAAAUUCCUGUGAUCCUCAUAGUGCUGAGCGUGGAUGAAUAACUUUUGAUAACAGCCUGGGAUUUGGUGGUGUGGGGAGAUUUAUUUCCUGAUCUUUUGCCCAUCAAAUCUUUUUCUGAUCUUAAUUGUCAAUCACAUCAUAUGAUUUCUCCAGAGAAAUGAAAAUAGCAGCUAUUUGUCUUGAAAAUCCACCCUUUGAUGUAAGAAUUCCAGGAAAUAAAACACCUUUACAGUUAUGGGAUCCAGACCUGUCUGACUGGGAUGCAUUUCCAUCAAGACUUGUGUGGGUUUGUUGACUGGAUUUUUAAGACAUUCUGCAUCUUUUAUGGGGAUUUGCAAUGGGGCAUUCAUGGCACAUUCACUUUUGCGAGGAAUAAAAUGGCUUGGGCCAUAUGCCUUAGAGAUCCCUUGUCCAUUGUGCCAGCCUCCCUCGUCCAGUGUAGGCUUCCAAGGCAGUGCUCCCCAGCCUGCACAAGUCCAGCCCUUACUGUGAUACUGAAAUAAGGUCCUGGAUGUUCAGACCUGCUUGCAUGUUGGCUGUUUCCCUUAGGGCACAUUAGGCACAUUUUCCAACAGAUGACUCACAGCUGCCAAGUACAGAUAUUUCAAUCUUCUGCUUUGAAGGCUUAACCUUGCCUAGACUCUGCUGACAGGCUGGCACAACAUGGGGUCACUGCACUGUCACUAUCCCUGACACUAUCCUCCAUCCUGAUCAAGGGUUAGCUAAUGCCUGCCUCUGUCCGGAGAAGUUUUUUCCAAUUUAGCUUAUCAAAUCUUUUGGUAAAGAUAGAGGAAGUGAGGGAAUUUAUUUAGAAAAAUGUAGUCAUAUUAAACUCGCUUCGUGUCCAUCAGCUUUAGGGAGUUCUUCAGACUUUGGCUGUGCACCUUGGGGUUAAGAUGUGUGUUAUGAACCUAGAGGAAGGAUCCUUGUUGGUUUCUCUCAUGAGAACCUUUUCCCAGCCAUGUUGGUUGUGUAGAUGGGUCUGCAACAGUACAGACAUGUAUGUAUCUAUGUGUAUGUACACUGUGAUGCUUCAAAUGUCUCAGCAAAGAUGAAUCUCAACACCUACAGCAUGGCAUUAGUGUUCCUAAAACAUCAGUGCUUCCCCAGGACUGAAAUCACAUUUAACUUCUCCACCUUCCAGCUCAAACCAUUCUGUGAUUUGAUGAUUCUGUGAAAAUGUUUUACUCUUGUAAAUGACUAAACUGCCUCCUGCCAUGUUUUCUGGAGUAUUUGGGCUGUGAGUGAUGCCUCCCUGCAUUGCAAAGUCCUCCCAGCUGUACCAGCCUGGUCCUGUGUCAGUCCUAAGCUAGACCUUUGCUGCUACCUGCUGACCCUUACAUUUCUAUAGGCAGUGAGAUCCUGCAAUCCUUUUCAAGAUUUCACUUCUUCUUCCUUCUUUUUUCUCUCCAUCUCAGUUCCUAGUUUUUCAGCCCAUUCUUUCUUUAGACAUCCCUCUUUCACGUCUUUCUGGCUGAAACUUUCAGUUUUUGAUUGCUUCUUCCCUGUAGCUCUCUUUGGUCCCUUGUUGUGACUGACCUCACUGUGGAUCCAAUUUCCCCUUUUCUUCACUCAGACACUUACGACUCCAACAUGUACCACUGAAAAAAAAAUAAGUCACAGGGCAAAUUUCCUAUGUUGGCUUUGCAGUUUGGAUCACCUUUCCUCCCUUCCCUCCUUGAAUCCUCUGGUGCUCUCUCAAAUUUGGAGGCUAUUCCUUCUUUUUUUUUUCCCAUUCCACAAGCAAUUAAUCAAUCAAUCUGGCAGCCUGGGACCAAUCUAAACAUAUAUAUAAAAAAAUGAGAAGUAACUGAAGGAGAAACUUGCUGAUUAGCUCUCUUGUUCCCACUAUGUCUCUGCUUGAUACUUAGACCUCUCCAAAUGCAAAGGACUCUGGGACAUACUUUUUUUUUUUAUGCCUUUGCAAAAAGUCCUCCUGUGCUUAGAGCCUGGCAGGUAGCUGGGGCUGACAGCAUUAUUUUCAAAGUCAGCAUUCCCAAGGUGGUGGUUUUAAUGAAGAGGAAGCUGAUUUACUGCUGAGAAUACAUUGUUCCCUCAAGUAAAGCCAACAGGGGUCAUUAGCACUUCAUAUAUUUAGGUGAGUGCUGUUUGUUCUGACAGACAACAUUGUGGGUUUCUGGGGGCUGUAGUUGAGCCUCAUGCAAAGCUUGCUGUAAGGUGACAGCAUGAGAGGUGAGCAGAUGACAGGGGAAGGGGCCCUGGGAUAGUCAGCAGUGCAUGGAGGUGCAUACCAUUUCCCACAGCAGGUACUCAUAGCUGGAUGGAGGCUAGUGAGCCUGGCCCAGCCAAAGUCUGGGGUAUGGUUGCUGCAUGUAUGCAAUGAGCCUUGCAGACUGGAGCUGGCCAUUACAUGCACUCUGCCUCAGACAGCUAUUAAAACAGCUGAUUUGUAAGCCACUGAGGCAUGUAAUAUGAUCAGCUCAAACCUGUAUAAAUUCAUCUUCUCGGCCUACCAGUCUGCGCCUCUCGUUUCCCAGCCCUCUUUCUUCUACUUCCUCUGGUCCUUCUUCCUCUGUGCCUUGUGGAUGGGCAGAGUGCUUUGUUGUGAUGUGCCCAUAUUUAUCCUGUCUUCUUUUAUUGGAAGGCAGCCAGGACUAUGAUGGGUGACAGGAUUACCCCUUCCUUCCUUCCAAACGGGGUUACUCCUCCACUCUGAUACUCCUGCAAGACAGAGGCAAGAAAAGACCUUCCAUGCCCUCCUCCACAUCAGCUGGAGCCUGUUGCCCAGGCAGAUGUUUAACGGGGCUGUAAAGACUCCAGCCAUGUGGCACAGCUUCCCCAUGGUCCAGAAACAGCAGCAGCUCAGCCAAAGUCACCUCUACUGAAGGGAUACUGUUUCCAGGAUGUGCUCUUUUCUCUCCAUCAGGCUCUGCGAUGACCAGUUGAGGCAUCUUGGCUUGCCUGAAACUGGCUGGCAAAUCCUAUUACAUGCUGAUGAGGGAGCUGAGAAAAACAGUCUUUACCUGUUCCUCCCAUGACUUGUCCCUGAUGAUUAACUGCUCGCCUUUAAAAUCAGCACUUUAUUUUCAGGUAGCGCCCUGCUAAUUUUCACCUCCUGCCACCAAGAUCUCAUUUUACCUUUGUUUGCCAAACUGGACAUUUGAAAUCUGGAGAAGGAGCUAAUUUGUUAGCUGAAAAGAUUUUAAAAAGCAACCAACCUGCAACCGAUCUCAGUCUGGGAUGCUAUGUUUGAGUGUUCACGUGACAGUGAGCAGGUAAGGUGCACAUAGGACCUCUCCCCCUUGGGGAGAUGGCUUUGAUAAGAACCAUGCUGCUCCUUAACCUUCAUUGUGUUCUUUCAAAAAAAGAAUUACCUGAAAAGCCAUUUCCUAGAACAGAUGGAAAAAGAGACGUUUAAAAACAAGCAACUCUGAUAGUGGAAUUGAUCAGGAAUAUUCCUAUUAGGAGGGCCUUUGUGGAAAAUGUUUCCUCAUCAAAACCAAGAAGCAAGGUCAUCUCAGAGGAAUAUUGCAGGGAGAUGGUUUGAAUUGAAAUGGAAAUUUGAGCCAGCACCAAAGGUAUCUUUCCCAAGAGAGCCCUUAGUUGUCUGAGGACAUUCCCAUUGCCUGGCUCAGAUUCUUGCUUGGGCAGUGGCAGUGAGUCCAGGCCUCUGAGGAUCCCAGUGUGUGUCCUGGUUGCUCAGCUUUUGGACUGCGUGCUCUUCUUUUUGGCUGUCAGGAAAAUGUGACGCUUUGAUCCUCAAGCAGAGCAACAUUUAUUCACACUCAGGAAAUACUUUUCACUCUGAGGGGCUACAAAACCAUUUCUCACUUAAUUCCACCAGCUUGAAAGGAGAGGGGAAAAUAAACAAUAGUUGAAAAGUUUGGGUACUGUUCUGAAGUUUUUUGAAGUCUUAAGCGUACUGUGACCUAGAGUUUGGUUCAGCCCAUUGCAAAGAGAUGAGCCAAACACGGACUUGGAGUGGGAAGCUCUCAGAGAUGAACACACGGCAGCUCCAGAGCUUGGGGCUGGGCACGCAGUUGAAACUCAAAACACAAAAAACGUAUUCUCUCACUGCAGCCAUUUAUACCAAAAUACCAAAGAGGUUAAAAUUCUGUGCUUGCAGCUGCACAAGGAGUGGUGCCAGCUUUUGAAAUCUGGGAAUAAUUGAUUUGUGUUUCCAGAAUCCUUUUUAUUGAAGGGGGAGAAAGACACAGAGAGAGGGGGCUAUUAAAAGCCUUUAAACCGCCAUGCUUUGAGCAUCUGUUGAGGUUGGCAGCUGAUGUCAGUGCCAUGUGAGCUGCCCUGCUCUGCCAUCACUGCCACCAAGUGGAACAGACCAUUUGUGGCCAACAGGAGAGAUGACAAAGACCAAAAGGAUGCAUUUGAUAAGGUUUUAAAAAACUAAGCAACAAACAAAGCAGCACUAAUUGAAAUACUUUUAAAGAGUCUGCCUGCCAAACGAUCCUCAGACGUUUAGGUGAGAAACUAGGUAAACUGCAGAAGAAGAGCUAAAAUGGAAACAUGGGAGCCAGAAGCUUAUAGUGUUUUCAGAUUGGGAUUAGGAGAAAAACAGGCUAUGUAUUGUAUCAUAGCCAUUGUAGCAUUGUAUAUGUUCCCCCAGGAAGCACCAUUUGCUUGUUUGUAGUAGAUUUGUUGAAAAUGAAACUGUUAUCCAUAAAAGAUUUUUCAAAUAAGGCUUUGGGUAUCUAUUGUUUAAUGUUUCAAAAUUGCUGAGCUGUUCCUUUUUCAUCUUAAAAUGAAUUACUCCAGCCUUCUUUAGAAUAUGAGAUAAUGAUAGAGAUAUGGUGAAGGAAGUUGUAAAAAAAAGAAAAAAAGGUUUUAAUUGAAUGAAACAUCAAAAUUCAUAUGAAAUGGAUGACUUUUUAAAAGCAUUUCUCAGAGAACAGGUAAGAAACUUGUCUCCUGGUCAGUCUUUUCUGAGUCGCAGUAAUCAUUUCUAUCACUGCCUGCCAUAAAUCCAUGAAUCUGAAGUUAAUCUUUAAGCUUUUUCACAAAUCAGCAUUUAUGAACUCUCAGCAACGAGCCACACUGGAUGGCCGAGUAAAGCCCGCAGCUGUACAGUAUUUGCUUUUAUCAGACUGUAAGUUGAACACCCUGUUGAGUUGCAUCUUGUGGUACCUUUUCCAUCAUGGUUGAACUUUCAGAGAACAUCUCAAUUUAAUUUAGCUUGUAUACUCUGCAUGCGUGGAAGUUCUGUAGGGGACACUUGGUUUACUGCAUGUCAAGUUGCUCAGUAGUUCUGCAAGAAAUCUACGGCAAAUGAAUCCCAGAGCUUUAUUCCUCUUGCUCUGGAACUUGAGAGUAGAUUUUCAAAAUUGAGCAUAAUCUUGCACAGAGAAAUUCUGAUUCAAACUUGUCCAUGGGACUUCAGGUCCAAACUCUUCACAAAUCCAUUUUGUUUCAUUUGGAUGUCCUUGAAGUAGCAUUUCCCCCCAGAAGUGAUCCCCCUCCUACACUGAGUCCAGAAGGAAUUUUGAUUCAAAAUGAUCCCGCGUUUUGUCAGUAUGUGUGGCAAGUAAAAAAGAAUUUUAUAGCUCUCAACUUGGGAGUCCAUAUUUGGCCACCAGGAGAGCUUCCUGAGAUUUUAUUUGAUUCUGAUGGUUCCUUGAUGAAACUCAUGAGCAAGAGAGACAGACUUGGCUUGAAGGCUUGUCAGACCGUGAGAGACAUGUCUUCUCUCUGCAGUGGGACAGGAGCUCUCUGGGAAGGGUGAGAGGAGUGUCUCUCCUGAUCAUUGCAAUGUGCAUUUCUGGGUGGAAAAGCUGCUGCAGUGGGCUGUGGGAAUAGGGCUAUGGGAACAGGACUACCACUUCUGCACAGUUGUAGGCUGUAAUUGAGAUUACAUAGCACAGGAUGGACUGUCAUUCAAUACAAACUGCAUUACUCAUGUCUCUGAGAAGACCUUAUAACCUGGGGUAAUGCCACAAGCAGUGAUUUCUACUCCCAAAUUAAGACAUUACUCACUAGCUAAGAGCUACUUCCAUCCCUCUGCUGCACGGUGUUGACAAUCUGAUCUCAGAAACCGAUGAGGAGACGCAACUGAAACAACAAUCUCCCUCAGCAGUGCCUAGGCAAAAUCCCUGUUAACUGGAUCCCAACACGUUUAAAAUGUAUUGUCAAUAAUCAUUACAGCAAGCAGCAGUUGGAAAUGAGCAUGGCCAAGGCACAGCAUGGAGCAGCAGUGCUUUGUGCUUGCACAGUGAUGCAUGCACUGCUAUAAUGCACUCUGUAUGCACGGCCCCCGCAUGGCAGGCUGGGACAGAUAUACCAGCUUGGACUGAGAAGUAGCAAAAAUGAAGGAAAGAAAAAGAAUCUGUGCAUUUUCUUCUUGCUGUCAUUUCAGCUUUUAGGCUUGAAAAUGAAGUACAAAGCUUUAAAACUGCUACAUGGGAGUUUGCUGCUUGGAAGAGGAAAUGUAUUCAGCACAUGCUGGUUUGUGCUACUAAGGCAAGCGUAUUUGCAAAGCUCACUGCUAACAUCCAUUAGGUCAUCCACCUUCAUAUUACAGCCCUAUUUCAGUGUAAAUGACACCAGGAGGUACAAGCCAGCACAGGCUGAGUAGAUAUAUUGGAAAAGCAGAAGGGGAGAGGCAGGAGGAGGCUAUGAGGUCAUCUGCACUGACAGUGUGUUAGGUACUCACAUUAGAGCAGAGAACAGAGCCAUCUACUUUAUGGAACAAGCUUCCAACUGGUAACAAGGCUUGUUCUUCCAGUUAUUACAUUGAAAGAGCAACAUCUGGCCAGGAGCCUUCCAGGGGCCAAAUCCUUCUCUGCUGCAACCUUGCCCAUGUCAGCAGAGUAACACUAGGGAUGGAUUUGCAAGCGAGAAGCUAAAUGAAUGAGAAGGGCAAACCAUUUUUGUCCCGCUUGAAAAAAGAUAUAAAAAUUUUGUCUGCAGAACAGACCAGUCAUCUGAGCAAUAAAUAAUGUCACACCUUUAAUUGCUUUCCCAUACACCAGCGCAGUGCAUAAUAAACAAGGGGGAUUUUUUGUUUUUCCGUAAUUAGCAGAGGAAAACCCAAAGCUUGUGCUUCUUUUCCCUUUUCUGAUUUGUUAGCAGCUCAGCCACAAGAUCAGAGCAGAGACAUUCAUCAGGAGGGCAAAGCUGGGAGAACUACUAAUGGUUUUUACCUCUCUUUUAAAGUCCAGUAAGAAAUAAGGGAAAGGGAAGGAAAAAAAAUUACAUUCUUAAAGGCACUUGGUGAGCUUCAGCAACUGCUGUUUACUGAGAUUUCCAUAGCUUGUUUCCAAUUGUUGUAAAGUGUCCAGAAGCCAUGGCAACACAGCUGUGAUCUCUCAGUGUCUAAGGAAGCUCUCAUCCUCUAAGUAGCAGCCCAGCACUGGGUACAAAGAUAUGACUGUGCAUGAAGGAAACCCUGGACCAAACAGCAGUCUGGUGGCUCAGCUGACCUUGGUAACACCCAGCCCUGCUCCUCUUUUUGUUCAUUCAGUGCACGUGAAAGCCUCAAAUUUACACCAUCCAACAGAGUGUCUCACUCAUCAGCAGCAUGGGACUGACCGCUCAGCAUCAGUUACUGACUUCUCUCCCUCCGCACAGAGAUGCUGCCUGAAUGCUGACAUUUUAACAGCACGGUCCCUUCCCUGCACAUGAUAUGGCAUGAGGGAAUAACAGGAUGUAUUAAUGUCAUUUUAGAUAAUAAUAUUCUUCUCAGAGUGGGCUUUCUGGCACCGUAUGUCCCACUGCAAGAGAACUCUAUCCAUAUCUCUUCAGCACUAGAUCUAAACUUGAAAGCAAUCCAUUUGGGCCAUUAAAAUGACUUGUGAAAUGUGGAUAGUUAUCAUGUAAUUAGGACCACAUUUCCUUUCUCUCUCUGCCCAGAGCUCUGCACUGUGAUCUCAGUUCACCUUCAGCUUUGCUUCACCAUUGUCUUUCACAGACCGAUGUGAGAGCUUUUUGAAGGGUGGUUGUCCUGUUUCCCUACCCACACCCUCUCUCCUUCUCUCUGAGCUGACAAUUUUUACCCACGAGAUCUAUUUAAGCAAUUAAGAAAAAGAGAGAGAGAGGAUCCGUGUUUAGAGAGGGGCCAGAGAAAGUUUAUGAAUGGUCUAUGCCUCAGUUUCCAUGCUCUGUACAAUGAGAGCACAGCACUUCUCUGCCCCCCACUGACAGGAUGACUGCAGGUCUCCCGUGGCCAGGAGCGAAGCUUUUGGAAAGAUAUAGACCUGGAGGAGGCUGUUAGAGCCAUAUGCCCCUCCAUGAGGUGGGGAUUACCACAGAGCUUGGAAAGCAUGCCAGAGUACCUGGCUUUGCAAGGCUGCUGGAGCCUGAUGUGGGGAUGAAUUCCCUGCUGGACUGCAUUUCAAAGCCCUCUGCUCCUCUGCUGCAGGCUGUGUUGGAAAGCGCUGCUCACUUGGACACAGAGGGGCUGGGAUCCCAUUACAGAGUGCACAGCACUUGGAAGAGAAGCAGAAUACCCCUUCCCACCCCCAUGCUUCCCUAGGGCAUGUGCUCCUGGGCUGCAGCCAUGGACUGAAGCCUCUUGCACCCCUCACUCAUGACCAUGACCCCUCCCCCGGCAUUUUUUCCCCUCUUCAUGCUCUCAGAUCCUCUCUUCCAAGCCCAGAUGACCACAGCUCUGUGGAAGCCAGCACUAGCAGCAUCUCUGUGCUGGAGAUGAGCCCACAAGAUGUCAGUGCUGGCUCUGGCAGGAGGAAUUUGGAUGUGCAGCGGCCUAGCGCACAUUGGUAGAGGACCUUGCUCCUGGCCAUACCUCGUCCUGUCAUGUAUCCACUCUUUGAGCGAGAGAUGGUCCCAACCUCUGUAUGCUGCCUCCCCUCCACCACAGAACAACCAUCACUGCUCAUGCCCAAGUGUGCAAUACUAUGUCAUGAUCUCAAGGGGAAAGGAGCAGGCCUUGAGACCUGGCUGUGCCUUCCCAUAUUGCACCCUGCAACUAACUCAGAUCCGGCCAAAUCCAUCAUACAGGCCCCGAUGCUGUUUCGCCACCUCAUCCUUCUUCUGGCCCUUGCAGAGAUGGGGCCAAAAUCUCCCCAGGGUUUCCAGAACUCCACUUUUCCCUACGCCCCACAGAAAACUCCUUUCUUUCAUAGAGUCAUAGAAUGGCCUAAGUUGUAAGAACCUUGAAGAUCAUUGAACUCCAACCUCCACAGGAUUGUUGCCCUCCACCAGUUCAGGCUGCACAGGGCCCCAUCCAGCCUGGCCCUAAGCACCUCCAGGGAUGGGGCACCCACAGCUCUGGGCAGCAGUGCCAGCACCUCACUGCCCUCUGAGUAAAGAAUUUCUUCCUAUUGUCUGACAUAAAUCUCCCCUCUUUUAAUUUAAAGCCAUUCCCCCUUGACCUUUCUUUCCCACUGCUCCCUCCAGAACUCUCUCUCCAGCCCUUGGAGGGGCUUAUUCCUCUGCAGAGCAGGAUGUGCUCCUCACUACCCUUUCCUUUCUGCCUUCUGGCCCUGUGCCUCACUGGUAAAGACUGGCAAAAACAUCCUACUGUGAUGGGCCCAGGGGCUCCAUGUAUACUUGGUAUUGAUUACCUCAGGAGGGGGCAUUUCAAGGAUCCCAAGGGGUAUUGAUGGGCCUUUGGAAUAGCUGCUGUAAACACAGAUAAUGUUAAGCAGCUGUCUGUUUUUCCUGGCCUGUCAGAAGAUUCAUCUCUUGUGGAGUUGCUACAAGUGAAAGAGCAACAGGUACUGACUGCCACCAAAAUGGUGCAGAGACGGCAGUACCGCACAAAGGGAUUCCUUGCUUCCCAUUCAUAAGUUGAUUUGUCAACUAGAGAGCCAGGGAGUGAUAAGUAAAACUCACUCACCUUUUAACAGUCCCAUACGGCCAGUGCAUAAAGCCAGUGGAGAAUGGAGGCUGAUGGUAGACUACUGUGGCCUGAAUGAAGUCACACCCCCACUGAGUGCUGCUGUGCCGAACAUGCUAGAACUCCAGUAUGAACUGGAGUCAAA